rnacentral:rRNA from 1 species
GACGAACGCUGGCGGCGUGCUUAACACAUGCAAGUCGAACGGAAAGGCCCUGCUUUUGUGGGGUGCUCGAGUGGCGAACGGGUGAGUAACACGUGAGUAACCUGCCCUUCACUUUGGGAUAACUUCAGGAAACUGGGGCUAAUACCGGAUAGGAGCUCCUGCUGCAUGGUGGGGGUUGGAAGGUUUCGGCGGUUGGGGAUGGACUCGCGGCUUAUCAGCUUGUUGGUGGGGUAGUGGCUUACCAAGGCUUUGACGGGUAGCCGGCCUGAGAGGGUGACCGGCCACAUUGGGACUGAGAUACGGCCCAGACUCCUACGGGAGGCAGCAGUGGGGAAUAUUGCACAAUGGGCGGAAGCCUGAUGCAGCAACGCCGCGUGCGGGAUGACGGCCUUCGGGUUGUAAACCGCUUUCGCCUGUGACGAAGCGUGAGUGACGGUAAUGGGUAAAGAAGCACCGGCUAACUACGUG